UCCUACGGGGCGCAGCAGUGGGGAAUCUUCCGCAAUGGGCGAAAGCCUGACGGAGCAACGCCGCGUGAUCGAAUGAAGGCCUUCGGGUUGUAAAGAUCUGUUGACAGGGACGAAUAAGCAAUGCGAAUAGUUUUGUGUAUGACGGUACCUGUUUAGAAAGCUCCGGCUAACUACGUGCCAGCAGCCGCGGUAAUACGUAGGGAGCAAGCGUUAUCCGGAUUUAUUGGGCGUAAAGGGAACGCAGGCGGUCUUUUAAGUCUGAUGUGAAAGCCUUCGGCUUAACCGGAGUAGUGCAUUGGAAACUG
rnacentral:rRNA from 1 species